UGCCUUUGAGCCCCCAGCGCUCCUCCUCAUGGUGGUGGGGGUUAAGCUGCACAUAACUGGGGCCGCCUGCCUUUCACAGGUGGUCCUUUUAACUGCUACAGGC